rnacentral:rRNA from 1 species
GUUCCUUCGGGAGCGAGUAAAGUGGCGGACGGGUGAGUAACGCGUAGGAAUCUACCUUUCAGUGGGGGAUAGCUCGGGGAAACUCGAAUUAAUACCGCAUACACCCUUCGGGGGAAAGGGGGCCUCUCCUUGGAAGCUCUCGCUGUUAGAUGAGCCUGCGUGAGAUUAGCUUGUUGGUAAGGUAAUGGCUUACCAAGGCUACGAUCUCUAGCUGGUCUGAGAGGACGAUCAGCCACACUGGGACUGAGACACGGCCCAGACUCCUACGGGAGGCAGCAGUAGGGAAUAUUGGACAAUGGGGGCAACCCUGAUCCAGGCAUGCCGCGUGUGUGAAGAAGGCCUUAGGGUUGUAAAGCACUUUAAGUGAGGAAGAAAAGAUUUAAAUUAAUACUUUAAGUCCCUGACAUUACUCACAGAAUAAGGACCGGCUAACUCCGUGCCAGCAGCCGCGGUAAUACGGAGGGUCCAAGCGUUAAUCGGAAUUACUGGGCGUAAAGCGCGCGUAGAUGGUUUAUUCAGUUGGGUGUGAAAUCCCUGGGCUCAACCUAGGAACUGCAUUCAAAACUUAUAAACUAGAGUACGAAAGAGGAGAGUAGAAUUCAUGGUGUAGCGGUGAAAUGCGUAGAGAUCAUGAGGAAUACCAGUGGCGAAGGCGACUCUCUGGUUCGAGACUGACAUUGAGUGCCGAAAGCGUGGGUAGCAAACAGGAUUAGAUACCCUGGUAGUCCACGCCGUAAACGAUGAGAACUAGCCGUUGGAUCUUUAGAUUCAGUGGCGCA